rnacentral:ncRNA from 1 species
AAGGGAAUCCGGUGCGAGACCGGGACUGCCCCGCAGCGGUGAGUGGGAACGACGACUGCAAGAGCGCACUGGGAACGGCGCCGGACCUCGAUCCGGCGGUGAACGGUUCCUGGGAAGCGGUAGUCGGUAGGCCGAACGGGCCCGGUGAUCCGGCCCGCUGCCCACGAGUCCGAAAACCU